rnacentral:rRNA from 1 species
AGGUCACUGCUAUCGGUGUUCGUCUAAGCCAUGCGAGUCAUAUGUUCUUCGUGAACAUGGCGUACUGCUCAGUAACACGUGGAUAACCUGCCCUUGGGUCUGGCAUAACUCCGGGAAACUGGGGAUAAUACCGGAUAACGCAUAUCUGCUGGAAUUCUUUAUGCGUGAAAUGGAUUCGUCUGCCCAAGGAUGGGUCUGCGGCCUAUCAGGUAGUAGUGGGUGUAAUGUACCUACUAGCCGACGACGGGUACGGGUUGUGAGAGCAAGAGCCCGGAGAUGGAUUCUGAGACAUGAAUCCAGGCCCUACGGGGCGCAGCAGGCGCGAAAACUUUACAAUGCGGGAAACCGUGAUAAGGGGACACCGAGUGCCAGCAUUAUAUGUUGGCUGUCCGGGUGUGUAAAAUACACCUGUUAGCAAGGGCCGGGCAAGACCGGUGCCAGCCGCCGCGGUAACACCGGCGGCCCGAGUGGUGAUCGUGUUUAUUGGGUCUAAAGGGUCCGUAGCCGGUUUGGUCAAUCCUCCGGGAAAUCUGACGGCUUAACCGUUAGGCUUUCGGGGGAUACUGCCAGACUUGGAACCGGGAGAGGUAAGAGGUACUACAGGGGUAGGAGUGAAAUCUUGUAAUCCCUGUGGGACCACCUGUGGCGAAGGCGUCUUACCAGAACGGGUUCGACGGUGAGGGACGAAAGCUGGGGGCACGAACCGGAUUAGAUACCCGGGUAGUCCCAGCCGUAAACGAUGCUCGCUAGGUGUCAGGCAUGGCGCGACCGUGUCUGGUGCCGCAGGGAAGCCGUGAAGCGAGCCACCUGGGAAGUACGGCCGCAAGGCUGAAACUUAA